rnacentral:rRNA from 1 species
CACGAACGCUGGCGGCAGGCUUAACACAUGCAAGUCGAGCGCCCCGCAAGGGGAGCGGCAGACGGGUGAGUAACGCGUGGGAAUCUACCCAUCUCUACGGAAUAACGCAUGGAAACGUGUGCUAAUACCGUAUACGUCCUUCGGGAGAAAGAUUUAUCGGGGAUGGACGAGCCCGCGUUGGAUUAGCUAGUUGGUGGGGUAAAGGCCUACCAAGGCGACGAUCCAUAGCUGGUCUGAGAGGAUGAUCAGCCACACUGGGACUGAGACACGGCCCAGACUCCUACGGGAGGCAGCAGUGGGGAAUAUUGGACAAUGGGCGCAAGCCUGAUCCAGCCAUGCCGCGUGAGUGAUGAAGGCCCUAGGGUUGUAAAGCUCUUUCACCGGUGAAGAUGAUGACGGUAACCGGAGAAGAAGCACCGGCUAACUUCGUGCCAGCCGCCGCUGUAAUAC